AGGUUGGCUCAGAAGCAGCCAUCCUUUAAAGAGUGCGUAACAGCUCACUAGUCGAGUGACCCUGCGCCGAAAAUGUACCGGGGCUAAGCCUGAUACCGAAACUGCGGAUUGUAGGAAACUAUAGUGGUAGGGGAGCGUUGUAUACGAGUAGAAGCCGUACCGUGAGGAGCGGUGGAUUGUAUAGAAGUGAGAAUGCCGGUGUGAGUAGCGAGAUGUAGGUGAGAAUCCUACACACCGAAAGCCCAAGGAUUCCAGGGGAAGGUUCGUCCGCCCUGGGUAAGUCGGGACCUAACGCGAGGCCGAAAGGCGUAGUGGAUGGAAAGCAGGCGAAAGAUUCCUGCACCCGUAUAUGGAGCGAAGGAGUGACGGAGACGGAUAGUGUGACCCUCUUAAUGGAUUGAGGGCGAAGCGAAGCGGCUGGUUACCAGGCAAAUCCGGUAACUGAAAGGCUAGAGCGUGACAGGUAAGCGAAAUCCACGGAAAGUAGCGAAGCACAUGAUGACGGCUUCCAGGAAAAGCUUCUGGCAAUGCAUAUGCGGCCCGUACCAAAACCGACACAGGUGGGCAGGGAGAGAAUCCCUAGGUGAGCGAGAGAACUGUUGCCAAGGAACUCGGCAAAAUGACUCCGUAAGUUAGCGAGAAGGAGUGCUUAAGCAAUUAAGCCGCAGUGAAGAGGCCCAAGCGACUGUUUAACUAAAACACAGCUCUCUGCGAAGUCGCAAGACGAAGUAUAGGGGGUGACACCUGCCCGGUGCUGGAAGGUUAAGAGGAUCUGUUAAGAGCGAUCUGAAGCAGUGAUCCGAAGCCCCAGUGAACGGCGGCCGUAACUAUAACGGUCCUAAGGUAGCGAAAUUCCUUGUCAGGUAAGUUCUGACCCGCACGAAAGGUGUAACGAUUUGGGCGCUGUCUCGGCAGCAGACUCGGUGAAAUCUUAGUACCUGUGAAAAUGCAGGUUACCCGCAACUAGACGGAAAGACCCCAUGGAGCUUUACUGCAGCCUGAUAUUGAAUUCUGGUCAUACAUGUACAGGAUAGGUGGGAGACAAAGAGACGUGCACGCCAGUGUACGAGGAGUCGACGUUGGGAUACCACUCUUGUGUGACCGGGGUUCUAACCUGGUAUCGAGAACAGGUACGGGGAGAGUGUCAGGUGGGCAGUUUGACUGGGGCGGUCGCCUCCCAAAGAGUAACGGAGGCGCCCAAAGGUACGCUCAGAUUGGAUGGAAACCAAUCGACGAGUGCAAUUGCAGAAGCGUGCUUGACUGUGAGACUUACAAGUCGAACAGGGACGAAAGUCGGGAAUAGUGAUCCGGCGGUGCCGAAUGGAAGGGCCGUCGCUCAACGGAUAAAAGCUACCCUGGGGAUAACAGGCUGAUCUCGCCCAAGAGUUCACAU
rnacentral:rRNA from 1 species